GACGAACGCUGGCGGCGUGCCUAAUACAUGCAAGUCGAACGCACAGUUUAUACCGUAGCUUGCUCCACCAUAUACUGUGAGUUGCGAACGGGUGAGUAACGCGUAGGUAACCUGCCUGGUAGCGGGGGAUAACUAUUGGAAACGAUAGCUAAUACCGCAUAAUAUUGAUUAUUGCAUGAUAAUUGAUUGAAAGAUGCUAUUGCAUCACUACCAGAUGGACCUGCGUUGUAUUAGCUAGUAGGUGAGGUAACGGCUCACCUAGGCGACGAUACAUAGCCGACCUGAGAGGGUGAUCGGCCACACUGGGACGGAGACACGGCCCAGACUACUACGGGAGGCAGCAGUAGGGAAUCUUCGGCAAUGGACGAAAGUCUGAACGAGCAACGCCGCGGGAGUGAAGAAGGAUGUCGGAUCGUAAAGGUCUGUUGUAAGAGAAGAACGGGUGUGAGAGUGGAAAGUUCACACUGUGACGGUAGCUGACCAGAAAGGGACGGCUAACUACGUG
rnacentral:rRNA from 1 species